UACGUAGGGGGCAAGCGUUGUCCGGAUUUAUUGGGCGUAAAGAGCGUGUAGGCGGCUAGGUAGGUCCGUUGUGAAAACUCGAGGCUCAACCUCGAGACGUCGAUGGAAACCAUCUAGCUAGAGUCCGGAAGAGGAGAGUGGAAUUCCUGGUGUAGCGGUGAAAUGCGCAGAUAUCAGGAAGAACACCAAUGGCGAAGGCAGCUCUCUGGGACGGUACUGACGCUGAGACGCGAAAGCGUGGGGAGCGAACAGG
rnacentral:rRNA from 1 species